rnacentral:rRNA from 1 species
AGUGAACGCUGGCGGUAGGCCUAACACAUGCAAGUCGAACGGCAGCACAGUAAGAGCUUGCUCUUACGGGUGGCGAGUGGCGGACGGGUGAGGAAUACAUCGGAAUCUACUUUUUCGUGGGGGAUAACGUAGGGAAACUUACUCUAAUACCGCAUACGACCUACGGGGGAAAGCAGGGGAUCUUCGGACCUUGCGCGAUUGAAUGAGCCGAUGUCGGAUUAGCUAGUUGGCGGGGUAAAGGCCCACCAAGGCGACGAUCCGUAGCUGGUCUGAGAGGAUGAUCAGCCACACUGGAACUGAGACACGGUCCAGACUCCUACGGGAGGCCGCAGUGGGGAAUAUUGGACAAUGGGCGCAAGCCUGAUCCAGCCAUACCGCGUGGGUGAAGAAGGCCUUCGGGUUGUAAAGCCCUUUUGUUGGGAAAGAAAAGCAGCAGGUUAAUACCACGCUGUUCUGACGGUACCCAAAGAAUAAGCACCGGCUAACUUCGUG